UACGUAGGGGGCAAGCGUUGUCCGGAUUUAUUGGGCGUGAAGAGCGUGUAGGCGGUUUGGUAGGUCCGUUGUGAAAACUCGAGGCUCAACCUCGAGACGCCGAUGGAAACCAUCAGACUAGAGUCCGGAAGAGGAGAGUGGAAUUCCUGGUGUAGCGGUGAAAUGCGCAGAUAUCAGGAAGAACACCCGUGGCUAAGGCGGCUCUCUAGUACGGUACUGACGCUGAGACGCGAAAGCGUGGGGAGCAAACAGG
rnacentral:rRNA from 1 species